CCCCUCGGGCUCCUCCACGGCCAGCCCGGGGCUUGUCCCGCGGGAAUUAGAGCCCGGCCUAAGGGGGGUGAACAUCUCCACACCGGGCCUCAGGCGUGUUGAACGUGGUACUUCUUCGUGAGAAGGAUCUGGUGGGUAGCGAGGAGGAGCCCGGAGAAGCGAGGGCGAAGGGGUCCUGCCAUCUGCUUGGCCAAGGGCCGAGGUCGUUCCUAGUGUAGGGGAGAAGAGACCAGGAAGAGGAGCCCUGCGCUAGUACGGAUUUAAACAACCCGUGUAGCGUCUCCCCAGGUUGUCGCACUGCUACACCAGGAUUCUCGUAUGCGUUGGUAUCUUAUCCUUAUUACUGUUAUGGGCUGAGAUACUGCCCAUGAGUGACAAGCUACCUCUGUCCCACUUAUACCACCUGGUUAUUGAACAUAAUCUACCUAUCUGGUCACAUAACUGAUUAUUACUGCUAAAGUCAUUGCCGAGUGGACGUCCCUAUUACACAGCUUUAUUACAUUAGAUCAAAUAUAGUUGUUUAAUAGGACUUGGUCUAUCUGGGUGGGUAUUGAACAUUUUGGACACCAUUUUUUUACAAUUUGAAUAUUAGAAAAAAUAUAGUAACAGAGGGGGCUUUCUCUCAGAUUCCAGCUCCACCAAAAAUCUCUCAUAGUAUCAGCAGCACUACAGACUCUGUUCGUUUUCCCUGCAGUGACACUUCUGUCUGUCCAGCAGGAUCUGUUGUGGCUCCAGCAAGGAGGGGUUUUCCUCUUCAAGGUUAUUUGCUUUCCAGCUGAUGCACAGCCAAUAUGGAGAUGUGAGGGUGAAAGGCAGCAGGUAGGUGCCUCAGGGCCAUGUCAGCAGCAAAGUGAAUGGACAGAAUGAGGGCACAGCAGGUGAAGUCCACCUCUUCUGCCCUCAGACUCUUCCCUGGAGCCUGUUCUACUGAAGAGAUGUGCAGGUCAUCCUGUCAGUCUUUCCUUCUCAUGCUGCCAUGGAUAAAAUCAUCCAUCUCACUGAACCGUGCUGAAGUAAAAGCUGUUGUAACUAUUUGUACUAAAA